rnacentral:rRNA from 1 species
UACGUAGGUGGCAAGCGUUGUCCGGAUUUACUGGGUGUAAAGGGCGUGUAGGCGGAGCUGCAAGUCAGAUGUGAAAUCCCGGGGCUCAACCCCGGAACUGCAUUUGAAACUGUAGCCCUUGAGUAUCGGAGAGGCAGGCGGAAUUCCUAGUGUAGCGGUGAAAUGCGUAGAUAUUAGGAGGAACACCAGUGGCGAAGGCGGCCUGCUGGACGACAGCUGACGCUGAGGCGCGAAAGCGUGGGGAGCAAACAGG